UAGCCCGGGGAAACUCGGAUUAAUACCGUAUACCUCCUAUGGGAGAAAGAGGGCCUCUCUUGAAGCUCUCGCUACUAGAUGAGCCUGCGUAAGAUUAGCUUGUUGGUAAGGUAAUGGCUUACCAAGGCUACGAUCUUUAGCUGGUCUGAGAGGACGAUCAGCCACAUUGGGACUGAGACACGGCCCAGACUCCUACGGGAGGCAGCAGUGGGGAAUAUUGGACAAUGGGCGCAAGCCUGAUCCAGCCAUACCGCGUGUGUGAAGAAGGCCUUCGGGUUGUAAAGCAC
rnacentral:rRNA from 1 species